GAAGUAUUCAUGUCUUUAAAUUCAUUCAUUAAGUUCUUUUGCACUUGAUCAUGCAUGAGCUUAGUCCGCUAUAGACAAUAAGUCUAAAGAUAGAAACUGGAAUCCACAUGUAGUUUCCACAAGUAUUUAUAACUAUAUUCUAUGGUUAACUAAAUCCAUACAAGAAUUUCACAUUGUACUCAUUUGGAAAAUAAAUUAUUUAUCGAGUCUAGUGCACCAAGUUAUGUAGCAUUCUAAUUUGAUGCACUAAGCCAACGACAAUAUGCCAUGCAUUAAAUAACUCUAGUCCAACUGCUAAAUUAACUUGGAUUAACUACUUUAGAGUUGAUUGAUUAUGAACUGAAUAUUAU
rnacentral:misc_RNA from 1 species